UGACUAGAUCAUACUCAUCCACC
rnacentral:miRNA from 2 species